GGAGCGAACGCUGGCGGCAGGCUUAACACAUGCAAGUCGAACGGGCAUAGCAAUAUGUCAGUGGCAGACGGGUGAGUAACGCGUGGGAACAUACCUCUUGGUUCGGAACAACACAGGGAAACUUGUGCUAAUACCGGAUAAGCCCUUACGGGGAAAGAUUUAUCGCCGAGAGAUUGGCCCGCGUCUGAUUAGCUAGUUGGUGUGGUAAAGGCGCACCGAAGGCGACGAUCAGUAGCUGGUCUGAGAGGAUGAUCAGCCACAUUGGGACUGAGACACGGCCCAAACUCCGUACGGGAGGCAGCGAGGUGGGGAAUAGUUGGACAAGUGGGCGACAAGGCCUGAUCCGAGCCAGUCGCCGCGUGAGUGAUGGAACGGCCGUUAGGGUUAGUAAAGUCUUAGUUUUGGAACGGUAAGACGUAACGGACGGUAACGUAAGAACGUAACGCCCCGACUUAACGUUCCGACGACCCG
rnacentral:rRNA from 1 species